CCUGGCCCUAGAGAUAAGCUCCCAAACAUGCAACCGGCCCAACCACAGAGGUAAGCUGCUGUCCAUCCAAGCACCCUGAUCACAGAGGCAAACCACUGUCCGCCCAAACACCCUGAUCCCAGAUGUAGGCUGCCAACCACACAAACACAUUGUUCCCAGAAGCAAUCUGUCAUUCACCCAACCAUGCUGAUCCCAGAGGUAAACUACCUUCCAUCUAACUGUCUUGUUCUUUGGGGUAAGCUGACAUUCACACAAAUACCCUGAUCCCAGAGGCAAGCUGCGGUCUACCCAAACACGCAGGCCCCUCAGUGUGUAGCUGACAUGUUCCCGGACUCUGCUAUUGCACGAAAAUACUCAACAGGAAAAACGAAGGCUACUCAACUCAUCAAAGGUGCCAUAGCAGCAGAACUACAGGAUGAGUUGGCCAAAACAUGCCGAUCUCAGCCCUUUUCACUGAUGUGUGACGAAUCCAACAACAGACAAAGAAUUCGUCAUCCUGACUAGACUCUACGAUGAGGCCACUCUGCAGGUCGCUACAAGAUUCCUGGAGAUGCCUACAUGCAAUGUAGGAAAUGCAGAAAAUCUGUAUGGAAAGCUGAGUGAGGCAUUAAGAAAAAGAGGCAUCCCAUGGGAAAACCUGAUUGCCUUUAACUCUGAUAAUGCAAGUGUUAUGAAAGGCCAACAUAACUCGGUCAUCAGCAGACUGAAGACCAGGCAGCCCCACAUCCAGGACCUUGGCUGCAUCUGCCACCUGGUACAGCUGGCCACUGGCUGUGGCAUCAGAGCAGCCCAGGUACCGGUGGAAGACAUCCUGGUGGGGAUAUACACCCACUUUGAUAAAAGUGCAAAAAGAUGUUAAGUCUACAAAGAGUUUGUAGACUUCACUGAUUCAGACCACCUGAAGCUCCUCAGGUACUGCAGCACAAGAUGGCUAAGUCUGUUAACCUGCAUCCAGAGGGUGCUGAACCAGUGGGAUGCACUACAGGCCUACUUUAACAGUCAUGAGGAAGUAGAGAGGAGUGUUAAAGUGUGUGAUCUGGCAAGCCAUCUGCGUGAUCCAAUCAUGAAGACCUAUUUCCUGUUCCUGAGUGCUAAAUUCAGCCUUUAUCUGAAUUUAACAUUGCCUUCCAGUCAGAGGGAGUACAAAUUCACGGACUUGAAGAGGAGAUGUGCAGGCUGAUAAAGAGGAUCCUGGGCUACCUCAUACCAGCCAGGGCAAUCGUGGGUGUACCUCUCAGGGAGGUGGAGUAUGGAGAUGGACAUCAGUUGGCUGAUGAAGAUCUCUUUAUCGGAGCAGACACAAAGGCAUUCAUGAGAAGCGCUGAGCUCCCUGUGUCAGCCGAGAAGAAAAUCUUUCAGUGAGUGUAUUACCCAGUAGUUAUAU